rnacentral:rRNA from 1 species
GUGGGGAAUCUUCCGCAAUGGACGAAAGUCUGACGGAGCAACGCCGCGUGAGUGAAGAAGGUUUUCGGAUCGUAAAGCUCUUUCGUUAGGGACGAACGUGCUCUUUGUGAAUAAUGAGGAGUAAUGACGGUACCUAAAUAAGAAGCCACGGCUAACUACGUGCCAGCAGCCGCGGUAAUACGUAGGUGGCAAGCGUUGUCCGGAAUUAUUGGGCGUAAAGCGCGCGCAGGCGGGAUAUCAAGUCUGUCUUAAAAGUGCGAGGCUCAACCUCGGAGGGGGACAGAAACUGGUAUUCUUGAGUGUCGGAGAGGAAAGUGGAAUUCCAAGUGUAGCGGUGAAAUGCGUAGAGAUUUGGAAGAACACCAGUGGCGAAGGCGACUUUCUGGACGAUGUCUGACGCUGAGGCGCGAAAGCUAGGGGAGCGAACGGGAUUAGAAACCCCUGUAGUCC